GGCAAGUUGUCAGUGUUUCAGGCUUGAAUUAAUCUCCUGUUGCAGGCGAAAAAUGCUUGUGGAUUUGCAGACUUGCUGUAAAGAGCUUCCAGGAAUUCUAGUCAAUGUAAAAUCCUUAGAGGUCAGAGAUUGCAACGUGAUUAUGCUUAUCAGAAGAUUUGGUUCAGAUUCUAGUGACAAUGCAUGUGGACUGGCUUGCCGGUCAAAUUUGUUCGAAGAAAACGCUAGAGCAACUUGAAAAUUUCGCACAAAAAAAAUUACAUGGCUGAUGUGAGACUCGCUCAUUUGGUUUUUACACCAACAGUCUGGACUUACAAAAGCUCCCACGUAAAAAUUAUAGGACAGUUGUGUAAUGGGUUUCUUUUUUCUUGUGAUAUUUGUGUUAUUGCAGUACUAAGUUUUGCAUUGCUCUAACACAGGAUUUAACAUUUCCUUCCACCAUGCAGUACUUGAAGUCCAAUCCAUUUUUCCAGCAUCUAACUAGAAGUGAGUCUUUUUUUAAAAAAAAUUCUUGAACAAAGGAAAGAUUAGCUUUUUGAUAUUAAUCAUUUAUUUCUUAUAUUAGUUGAUUUUUCUUUAUAAUUUCUUAAAACUCCAUUGUCAGGUGUUCUAGUGCCAAGGUCCUCUACUUACUCCAG
rnacentral:lncRNA from 1 species